GCAAGAAAGUAGGCCUUGAAUUUUAUUUAACAAAACCUGCCUAGACUAAAUUCCUUCAAUCAAUCUUUAUUAAGACUUCAACUCGAAAUUACAUACAAAAUUUGUAGUUAAAAUUCCCUGAGAUCGGAUUUCCCUAGGAAAAUAUGCAGCGGUUUAUAACAUUUAUUGUGGGGGGAAUUGUUGGUUUUCUCAUUGCCAAGCAUAGAUAAACAUUAUGGCUUAUAUAAUUAUCUUUGGAUUGGGCGUAGUGUUUGGCAUGUUUGUAUGCCGACGCUGCGAGCCCUGAGUUCACAGGAACCUUGGAUAUAUAGAACUAAUCAUAGCUUUGGAGGAAUUCCAGAUCUAAAGCCCACAAUAGAAAUAGAAAUUGAAUAGAAUUUGAACCCAAAGAUGUCCAUAAGCUCUCGCUGCAAGACUUAAUAACCAUCGAUCAUGGGGGAUAUCCAGAUCUUCAGCCUUAUUUAAUUUAAUAAAAAUAAAUCUAAAAACUA